CAUGCAAGUCGAACGAGAGAGAAGGAGCUUGCUUCUUCGAUCGAGUGGCGAACGGGUGAGUAACGCGUGAGGAACCUGCCUCAAAGAGGGGGACAACAGUUGGAAACGACUGCUAAUACCGCAUAAGCCCACGGGUCGGCAUCGACCUGAGGGAAAAGGAGCAAUCCGCUUUGAGAUGGCCUCGCGUCCGAUUAGCUAGUUGGUGAGGUAACGGCCCACCAAGGCGACGAUCGGUAGCCGGACUGAGAGGUUGAACGGCCACAUUGGGACUGAGACACGGCCCAGACUCCUACGGGAGGCAGCAGUGGGGAAUAUUGCACAAUGGGGGAAACCCUGAUGCAGCGACGCCGCGUGGAGGAAGAAGGUCUUCGGAUUGUAAACUCCUGUUGUUGAGGAAGAUAAUGACGGUACUCAACAAGGAAGUGACGGCUAACUACGUGCCAGCAGCCGCGGUAAAACGUAGGUCACAAGCGUUGUCCGGAAUUACUGGGUGUAAAGGGAGCGCAGGCGGGAAGACAAGUUGGAAGUGAAAUCUAUGGGCUUAACCCAUAAACUGCUUUCAAAACUGUUUUUCUUGAGUAGUGCAGAGGUAGGCGGAAUUCCCGGUGUAGCGGUGGAAUGCGUAGAUAUCGGGAGGAACACCAGUGGCGAAGGCGGCCUACUGGGCACCAACUGACGCUGAGGCUCGAAAGUGUGGGUAGCAAACAGGAUUAGAUACCCUGGUAGUCCACACCGUAAACGAUGAUUACUAGGUGUUGGAGGAUUGACCCCUUCAGUGCCGCAGUUAACACAAUAAGUAAUCCACCUGGGGAGUACGACCGCAAGGUUGAAACUCAAAGGAAUUGACGGGGGCCCGCACAAGCAGUGGAGUAUGUGGUUUAAUUCGACGCAACGCGAAGAACCUUACCAAGUCUUGACAUCCUGCGACGAUGCUAGAA
rnacentral:rRNA from 1 species